AAUGGGCGCAAGCCUGACCCAGCCAUGCCGCGUGCAGGAUGACGCCCUAUGGGUUGUAAACUGCUUUUAUAUAGGAAGAAAAUACUCUUGCGAGAGAAACUGACGGUACUAUAUGAAUAAGGACCGGCUAACUCCGUGCCAGCAGCCGCGGUGAUACGGAGGGUUCAAGCGUUUUCCGGAUUUAUUGGGUUUAAAGAGUGCGUAGGUGGUUUAUUAAGUCGGUGGUGAAAUCCUGCAGCUCAACUGUAGAACUGCUAUUGAUACUGGUAAACUUGAGUUUGGUUUAGGUAAGCGGAAUUUAUGAUGUAGCGGUGAAAUGCAUAGAUAUCAUAAGGAACACCAAUAGCGAAGGCAGCUUACUGGACCUCAACUGACACUGAGGCACGAAAGCGUGGGUAGCGAACUGGAUU
rnacentral:rRNA from 1 species